UACGAAGGGGGCUAGCGUUGCUCGGAAUCACUAGGCGUAAAGCGCACGUAGGCGGAUUGCUAAGUCAGGGGUGAAAUCCUGGAGCUCAACUCCAGAACUGCCUUUGAUACUGGCGAUCUCGAGUUCGGGAGAGGUGAGUGGAACUGCGAGUGUAGAGGUGAAAUUCGUAGAUAUUCGCAAGAACACCAGUGGCGAAGGCGGCUCACUGGCCCAAUACUGACGCUGAGGUGCGAAAGCGUGGGGAGCAAACAGG
rnacentral:rRNA from 1 species